rnacentral:rRNA from 1 species
GAUGAACGCUGGCGGCGUGCCUAAUACAUGCAAGUCGAGCGAAUGGAUUAAGAGCUUGCUCUUAUGAAGUUAGCGGCGGACGGGUGAGUAACACGUGGGUAACCUGCCCAUAAGACUGGGAUAACUCCGGGAAACCGGGGCUAAUACCGGAUAACAUUUUGAACCGCAUGGUUCGAAAUUGAAAGGCGGCUUCGGCUGUCACUUAUGGAUGGACCCGCGUCGCAUUAGCUAGUUGGUGAGGUAACGGCUCACCAAGGCAACGAUGCGUAGCCGACCUGGGAGGGUGAUCGGCCACACUGGGACUGAGACACGGACCAGACUCCGACGGGAGGCAGCAGUAGGGAAUCUUCCGCAAUGGACGAAAGUCCGACGGAGCAACGCCGCGUGAGUGAUGAAGGCUUUCGGGUCGUAAAACUCUGUUGUUAGGGAAGAACAAGUGCUAGUUGAAUAAGCUGGCACCUUGACGGUACCUAACCAGAAAGCCACGGCUAACUACGUGCCAGCCGCCGCAGUAA